AUCUGGUUGAUCCUGCCAGUAGUCAUACGUUCGUUUCAAAGAUUAAGCCAUGCAUGUGUAAGUAUAAAUAAUUUUACUUUGAAACUGCGAAUGGCUCAUUAUAUCAGUUAUAGUUUAUUAGAAAUAUUUUACUACUUGGAUAACCGUAGUAAUUCUAGGGCUAAUACAUGAGUAAAACCUCAACUUCGGAAGAGGUGUGUUUAUUAGUAUGAAAACCAUAUAUCUUCGGAUAUAAUAGUGAGUAAUAAUAACCUUUCAUAUCGUAUGUCGUAAGAUAACGAUAGUUCUUUCAAGUUUCUGCCCUAUCAGCUUUCGAUGGUAGUAUAUGGGACUACCAUGGCAGUAACGGGUAACGAAGAAUUUGGGUUCGAUUUCGGAGAGGGAGCCUGAGAGAUGGCUACCACAUCCAAGGAAGGCAGCAGGCGCGUAAAUUACCCAAUCCUGACAUAGGGAGGUAGUGACAAUAAAUCACAAUGCGGAACUUUUAGUUUUGCAAUUGGAUUGAGAACAAUGUACAAAUGUUAUCGAUAAACAAUUGGAGGGCAAGUCUGGUGCCAGCAGCCGCGGUAAUUCCAGCUCCAAUAGCGUAUAUUAACGUUGUUGCAGUUAAAAAGCUC
rnacentral:rRNA from 1 species